rnacentral:rRNA from 1 species
CGAAAUGCCGGCGCAGCUACCAUGCAGUCGAGCGGUAACAGAUCCAGCUUGCUGGAUGCUGACGAGCGGCGGACGGGUGAGUAAUGCAUAGGAAUCUGCCCGAUAGUGGGGGAUAACCUGGGGAAACCCAGGCUAAUACCGCAUACGUCCUACGGGAGAAAGGGGGCUUCGGCUCCCGCUAUCGGAUGAGCCUAUGUCGGAUUAGCUAGUUGGUGAGGUAACGGCUCACCAAGGCCACGAUCCGUAGCUGGUCUGAGAGGAUGAUCAGCCACAUCGGGACUGAGACACGGCCCGAACUCCUACGGGAGGCAGCAGUGGGGAAUAUUGGACAAUGGGGGGAACCCUGAUCCAGCCAUGCCGCGUGUGUGAAGAAGGCCCUCGGGUUGUAAAGCACUUUCAGCGAGGAAGAACGCCUAGCGGUUAAUACCCGCUAGGAAAGACAUCACUCGCAGAAGAAGCACCGGCUAACUCCGUGCCAGCAGCCGCGGUAAUACGGAGGGUGCAAGCGUUAAUCG